UACGUAGGUGGCAAGCGUUGUCCGGAAUUAUUGGGCGUAAAGCGUGCGCAGGCGGUUCGCUAAGACAGAUGUGAAAUCCCCGGGCUUAACCUGGGAACUGCAUUUGUGACUGGCGGGCUAGAGUAUGGCAGAGGGGGGUAGAAUUCCACGUGUAGCAGUGAAAUGCGUAGAUAUCUGGAGGAACACCGGUGGCGAAGGCGGCAUCCUGGACCAACACUGACACUGAGGAGCGAAAGCCAGGGGAGCAAACGGG
rnacentral:rRNA from 1 species